GCACUACUGAAGAGUCCCAUAAUAGGACGAAACGGUCGUCCAGUGA
rnacentral:hammerhead_ribozyme from 1 species